AAACUGCGAUAAGUAGUGUGAAUUGCAUUUAGUGAAUCAUCGAAUCUUUGAACGCACCCUGCACUCACUGGUAUUCCGGUGAGUACGCCUGUUUCAGUAUCAUUGAAAACACACAAUCAAAACAUUUUCUUUGGUUUGAUUGGCUUUGGGUCUAUCAAAAAGUUUGGCUUGUUUCUUACAAGCCAAGCGGCCUGAAAUAUAUUGUCUGGCUAAUUGCAUCGUUGAUGAUCGCUAUUAGACUUUGGCUUUUUUAAAUGAACUGGAGGUUGAUUAACCAGUUUUAGCUUUAGUCAAAUGAUCAUUGUAAAAAAAAUCUCGAUCUUGGCUAGGUGUUUAUAGCCGAAAAUUUUUUUUUGGCUAUAACCGAAACCAAUAUAAUCACAUUUAGUUAUCGAUCUGAAAUCAGGUGGGACUACCCGCUGAACUUAAGC
rnacentral:misc_RNA from 1 species